CUGAACAGUAACAACAAUCAUCUGUCUUGAAAAUAGAACUCAGAAGUGUAAAAACUAUUGUAUAGGUAUCUAUUACCAUGCUUAUCUGAGAUAAAACAUGGACUCAGAGUAUCUUCUUGAAGGAGGAGCAUUUAUUUCCUCAGGAGUGAAUUUUUCUCUCCAUGACUACAGGAUGAGACUCUUAAAUAUGUCUGUGUGCAGGCAGGAGGUACAAUUCAGCUUCAUCUCCUCAGAAGCUGGACAGUGGACAUGAAGGUCAAGAGUUGGGCAAAUUAUUGGUGCUGAUUCAUGUGAAAAAGCAACAAUAGAGAGAUGCCUUGUGACCACCAAGAGGAGCAUCACCCUCUGUAUGGCCCCCACAAGCAUUAAAAACGGAAUGGGAACGUC